rnacentral:lncRNA from 1 species
AUGUCCUAUUUAUCCUCGAGCAACCACUUAAGAUGUGAAGCAGAGAAUAUUGGUGUACUCUGGCAUUUGAUGUCACCAGGUAGCAUACCCUCGGCUGAUGUUCAGAUGACACUCUGCAUUCCUUCCCGAGAAGAGCAGCCUGACAGUCAAAGUAUACAAUUAGGAGCAGGGGCAGGAUCUUCCACAGACACUCAAAUCCCAAGGACUUAG